UCUUUCCCUUCAGGGUGUUUGUUUGUGAACCGGAGUCUGACGCUUGAAAACAUCAAGUGCUAUGGCUUCGACAUGGAUUACACUCUGGCAGUUUAUAAAUCUCCAGAGUAUGAGAGUCUGGGCUUUGAGCUGCUCAGGGACAGGCUUGUGUCCAUUGGAUAUCCGCACGAGCUUCUGGGAUAUACAUACGACUCUACUUUCCCACACGAGGUCUGGUCUAUGACACCACAUACGGUAACCUGUUGAAAAUAGACUCCAAUGGAAACAUUCUGGUCUGCACUCACGGCUUCUAGUACCUGAGAGG